ACUCCUACGGGAGGCAGCAGUGGGGAAUAUUGCACAAUGGGCGCAAGCCUGAUGCAGCCAUGCCGCGUGUGUGAAGAAGGCCUUCGGGUUGUAAAGCACUUUCAGUCGUGAGGAAGGUAGUGUAGUUAAUAGCUGCAGUAUUUGUACGUUAGCGACAGAAGAAGCACCGGCUAACUCCGUGCCAGCAGCCGCGGUAAUACGGAGGGUGCGAGCGUUAAUCGGAAUUACUGGGCGUAAAGCGCAUGCAGGUGGUUUGUUAAGUCAGAUGUGAAAGCCCGGGGCUCAACCUCGGAAUAGCAUUUGAAACUGGCAGACUAGAGUACUGUAGAGGGGGUUAGAAUUUCGAGGUGUAGCGGUGAAAUGCGUAGAGAUCUGAAGGUAAUACCGGUGGCGAAGGCGGCCCCUGGACAGAUACUGACACUCAGAUGCGAAAGCGUGGGAGCAAACAGGAUUAGAUA
rnacentral:rRNA from 1 species